rnacentral:rRNA from 1 species
UACGGGGGGGGCAAGCGUUGUUCGGAAUUACUGGGCGUAAAGGGCUCGUAGGUGGCCAACUAAGUCAGACGUGAAAUCCCUCGGCUUAACCGGGGAACUGCGUCUGAUACUGGAUGGCUUGAGAUUGGGAGAGGGAUGCGGAAUUCCAGGUGUAGCGGUGAAAUGCGUAGAUAUCUGGAGGAACACCGGUGGCGAAGGCGGCAUCCUGGACCAACACUGACGCUGAGGAGCGAAAGCGUGGGGAGCAAACAGG